rnacentral:rRNA from 1 species
UACGGAGGGUGCAAGCGUUAUCCGGCUUCACUGGGUUUAAAGGGUGCGUUGGAGGGCAGGUAAGUCAGGGGUGAAAUCCCCGAGCUUAACUUGGGAACUGCCGUUGAUACUAUCUGUCUUGAAUACCGUGGAGGUGAGCGGAAUAUGUCAUGUAGCGGUGAAAUGCUUAGACAUGACAUAGAACACCAAUUGCGAAGGCAGCUCGCUACACGAAUAUUGACUCUGAGGCACGAAAGCGUGGGGAUCAAACAGG